rnacentral:rRNA from 1 species
AUUGACCGCUGGCGUCAUGCCUUACACAUGCAAGUCGAACGGCAGCACGGGUGCUUGCACCUGGUGGCGAGUGGCGAACGGGUGAGUAAUACAUCGGAACGUACCUUAUCGUGGGGAUAACGCAGCGAAAGCUGUGCUAAUACCGCAUACGCCCUGAGGGGGAAAGCGGGGGAUCGAAAGACCUCGCGCGAUUAGAGCGGCCGAUGCCUGAUUAGCUUGUUGGUGGGGUAAAAGCCCACCAAGGCGACGAUCAGUAGCUGGUCUGAGAGGACGAUCAGCCACACUGGGACUGAGGCACGGCCCAGACUCCUACGGGAGGCAGCAGUGGGGAAUUUUGGACAAUGGGGGCAACCCUGAUCCAGCAAUGCCGCGUGAGUGAAGAAGGCCUUCGGGUUGUAAAGCUCUUUUGUCAGGGAAGAAACACCGGCUCUAACACAGUCCGGGAAUGACGGUACCUGAAGAAUAAGCACCGGCUAACUACGUGCCAGCCGCCGCGGUAA